UAGUAUGGAUAAUAUUAGUAGUAUGAACAUUUAUGACUCAACAAAUGUCAUUCCAAAUUUUACCUUUGUAAACAAUACAAUACAUAUGAACAAUAUAAAUAAUAAAAUAAAUAUGUAUAAUUUAAUGAAUACACAAAAAGAUAAUAAUAUUAAUCUAUUAGGAGUAUCUAACAAUAUGAAUAACUUUGCGAAUAUAAAUAACAUAAACGAAUUAUCCCAGUUAAAUAUUAAGACUAUUACAAAUAUGAAUAUAAAUAGUAUAGAAAACGAGAAUAUAAAGAAUAAUGAAAUUGAUAUCAUGGCACAUAAUUUGUAUAUGGACAAAAUUGUUACUUUUUAUAACAUGAGUGGUAUUAGUGGUAUUAGUGGUAUUAGUGGUAUUAGUGGUAUGGAAGGAAUGGAGAGGAUAGAGGGGAUAGAGGGGAUAGAAGGAAUGGAAAGAAUGGAAGGAAUGGAAAGAAUGGAAAGAAUGGAAGGGAUAGAGGAAAUAGAAGGAAUAGAAGAAGUAAAAGAAAUGGAAUGUGGAACUUCCUUAAACAAAAAUGAAUCCCAUAGUACGUAUAUGUUAGAUAAUACUAAUUUUGAAUGUUAUGCAGAUAAUCAAAUGGACAAGAGUGAGAAUGAUUUUGGAAAGUUAAGCAGUAGGAUCAGCUCGUCCAACCUAGUUAACUCAAGUAACCUACUUAAUGAAAAUGCUUCAAUAUGUUUUACAAACACAAAUGAAAGAAAUAAUAUUAAUAAUAUUCUUAAUGCAAAUUAUACAGAGGUCACUAAUACAAAUUACCCAAAUAUAUGUGUCAUAGACACAACAAAAAUUCAUAAUAACAACUUUAAUCACUUGAAUAUGAACGAGAAUUACUACCCAAUACAUACUACUAGUACUACUACUACAAAUGAUUAUAUAAAAAAUAUAAGAACUUAUGAACAGGAUGUAAAUAUGUUUAAUUUGAAUGGUGAAAACAAAGAUGUAGAAUGUGAAAGUAUAAAUAGAUAUACCGAAUUAUUGAACGAUGGGUUAGGUCAUAUAUCAAACAAUACUUUUAAUGAUAGUCAUAUUUUAAAUGAAAAUAAAUUAUGCUAUGACACAUAUAGGAAUGAUUAUAGUGUAAAUAAUAACGAUUAUAACUUAAGUAAUAACGACGAUAACUUAAAUAAUAUUGACAAUAAUAUUAAUAAUAUUGACAAUAAUGUUAAUAACAAUAAUAAUAUAAUUUUUAUAAAUGAAACAAACUAUCCUGAUAUACAAGUCCAAACAGGAACUAUGUAUAAAAAACAAGAAAAAUCAAACUUUGAUAAUAUAUCAGAAAUUGAAAUAUAUAGUAUGGCUAGCACAGAUGUUAUGACUAGUUCGGAUGGAAUAGACAGUUCCGGUGGUAUGGCUAGUUCGGGUGGUAUUAACAGUACAUGUAACAUGACCAACACGUAUGAUAUAACCAACAUGUAUAAUACGUCCAACACAUAUAACACGUCCAAUAGUUAUGACACGUCCAAUAGUUAUGACACAUCCAGUACGUAUGACAUACCCAACACAUAUGGGACAAAAUUAGAAAUAAUAAAAAAUAAUAAUAAUAAUAAUAAUAAUAAU
ensembl:lncRNA